AGGCCUACUAUAUAUUCAUUGAAUGAAUAACUUGAAUUAAUUUCAAGUGUUUAAGCUUUUAGAUAAAAAAAGAUUUUAAGACAAUGAGAAAAACCAUUUCAAUUAUAUGCAAACUUGUGUUAUUGUUUUGUGGUUAAUUAUGUUAAUCUGUAUUGCUGGCUAACAGUUAGCUGCUAUUUUAGUGAAAUCAAAUGAAACUAGUUCACACUUAUAAAUAUUGUUUUAAAAUUAGCUUACACAAAUAUUUGAAUUACUGUAACGUCUCAGUUUUAUUUGUCAUGGUAGGCUGUAGUUAUUCAGAUUAACUUCAAUGUUUUACUUACAUUUACUCCAUAAGGUAUAUUUCACUGAUAUCACAGCUUUAAAAAUGUACUCAAUAUUUAUUAACUAAUAAAAAAAAUAAAAAAAUAAAUAAAAAAAAAACACUACUAUAAAAGUACAUCAUAGUUCAAGUUUUUACAGUGUAGGCCUACAUUUUGCAUCCUCUAGUCAUUUUAUUGUGUCCAGUAGAUGGCAGUAGCUAAACACGCUGAACAAAGAAAUACUGACAGAAGCAAGAUGGCCUACAUUGAUAGACUGGUAAAAUAAACUAAAUACCAACUGUUAGUUUAAUGGUAAUGAAUGGAUUUUAUUUCACACAGAACACAGGCAAGACCCAUUACUCACCACAUUAGGUUAAAGGAUGUUCUGGGUUCAAUACAAUUGAAGCUCUUUACAGGUUAAGCAGUAUCGACAACAUUUUAGGCAGAAUGUCAAUUACUAUCGAAAAUAAUUUCGACUAAUUCUUACUUAAAAUGGAAGUGUAUGGGGGCAAUUGCUCAAUUGUAAGCAUGUAAUUGUCAAUGUGUUUGUUCUUUUACAAAAUGGGGGAUGGAUCAAUUUUUUUUUUUUUUCUUUCCCCAGUGAAUUGACAUGCCUUAAAUGCAGUAAAUGCAGCUUCUGUUGAACCAGGAACCCACUAUAUCAGUAUAUUCAUUUAAAAUCUUUAUUAGUACCACAUGAGAGUUGACAUACAACAUAAACUUAAUGCAAACUGGACAUUUACUGCAGGCAGAUCAUUGGAUUUAACAGUUAGCAUUAGCAAAUCUCAAAACACGACUAGGGAAGUUUCAAAUGCAUUUAGUUCUCAUUUCAGUCUUUGAGUCUCAAGUGGAUGUGUGAAAUGAACUUGUGCAAGAUUCCAGCCCACAAAGGGAGAAGAAACUUCACAAACAACCUGUAUUCAUUCUGCUGAUUAACUAAAAUUGCAGAUGGACAAUAACUUACACCGGUUAUCCUCUUAAAUCUUAAAAUGUUCUUUGGAAGAACCUUAUGUUCCUCUUCAGUGUCCAUGUACAAUUUCCAUUUUCCAAAAAUGACAACAAAACUCCAUAAAAGUACCAUAAAAUUUGUUCUUCUGUUUAAUAUUUUCCAUCUUUGAAGCUAUAUGAUAGUCUUCUGUGUGGAAUACACCAAGUAGUGACUCGCAUAUUGAAAUGCGUCAAAUAUAUGUGGAACUACAUAUUAUAAUGUAUUUUUUCCCCCUCAAAGUCUAUCAAAUCGAACAAAGAAAUGGUAAAAUUUCAUCAUAUCAUGUCUUUCCUGUGGCUAAUACUCUGAGGUGUGAAUUAACAUGUAUAGUUUGUGGCACUGUAUAAGUCAUUUGAAUAGGAAUUGAUAGGGUGUCCUUUACAAUAGGUCUUAAUUGGCAUUUUAUCCAUUUCAGAGGUUGGCCAGAGGACAACUAUCCAUCACUGAGAAGCAGAACAUCAUCCUGAAUGGGAUUUUAAUUGAAACCGAAUUACUGAGAGACUUGUACUCUACUGACGGAGAAGAUUUGUCUGGACUCUGCUGACAACUGGCUGUUUUUCAUUUCUGCCUCUGCUGCAGUCCUCCCCAAGACCAAAGUUCAGAGUUUGUUAUAGCUCACAGAGCCUAUAAUGGAAGAUGGGAUUUGUGCCACCCAGGAAGUUGAACAGGAGGAAACCUGCUGUGGAAAUCAAUGAGUCAGAAGAUUAAACAGUUGAAUCAGGUUUACCUGCCUUAAGGGGUGAAUGAAACAUAUGACUGGAGGGAAAUUAAACUUGUGGUGCACCAGAGUUUGGGCAUUUUUUUUUUUUUUUUUUUUUUAAAGGAGCACCAUAUUAGUUCAAAAUUCAAAGUCUGAGGGUCCAUUUACACAACAACAGUGUACUACAAACUGAAAAGUUUAUCUUUUGCGUUUUUUGCGGACAGACAACAUUAUCAAAAUGAUUCCCUUUUAUACAGAUCCACGGAAACAACAGAAAACGCUGUAUUUUUCAUGCCAGGCCAUUAGUUGGCGAUGUCACUUUUUUAAAGAAACACUACUGAACACAUAAUACGCAUGUGCAUGAUGUCACUGUUUUCAUGAAUUCUUUUUUUUUUUUUUUUUACACGGAGACAAUAACAAUAUCGUUUUGCAAAAACUUGAAAACCUGUUUUCAAAAGUUUGCAUUUUCAGGACCCCAAAACGCAGUUGUCGUGAAAAUUAAUUGCAAAAAUGCAUAAAAAGAUUUCAGUUUUUUUUGUUUUGUUUUUUUAAACAGUGUUGUUUAAACGGUCCCUGAUUCUAAAGGUAAAUCGAGCGGUAUAGUCUAAAUUUUCUGAAGAGACUCAAUCACUUUAUAUGAUGAACAUUUAAUUUAGGCUUUUACUCACAUGUAGACAUUUAUCGUCGAUUCAUAUGGAUUAGUUUUACAAUCUUUUGAAGCGUCAAAGUUUCAUUUGCAAAGGCAGUCAAAGGAAGGAAAUCUGACAGCAUUCUGUCAUCAACAAGAUCUUAAUUUGUGUUCUGAACAAAAGUCUUACGGGUUUGGAAUGGCAUGAGGAUGCCUGGACCUACCAAAACAAACAAAAUGGCUGAAGAUCAUCUCCUCUUUCUCUACCAAGAUGGUCGUCCUUAGUGAUGGUGAAAUGAAGCUUUGCGAAGCACAGAGGCUCUCCCCUCAACUGUAUCGUAAAAAGGUGGUGGAGUUUCUGCAAACUACUGGCUGGCUUGAACACAAUGGCGGAUAAGAUACGGAUGAAAAGGGACAUCAUUUGUACUUUGAGAGUGUCACGGAGUCACAACCAGCACCAACCAACAACAGCCCAUCGUCACCAGAUCAGCACGCUCCAACCACUCGUUCACAAUCCCCGGAGUUCUAAUCACCUGCACCUGCACCUCAUCAUCAGCACUCCCUAUAAAGACUCACUUCUCCUGCACUCCCUUGUCUGGUCUCGUCCAUAUGAACCUCAAGACUACUUACCUGAUUCUUCUGUCUUCUGUCUUCUGUCUUCUGCCAUCCGCCAUCUGCCAUCCGUCUGUCUUCAGUCCUCCUGCCGAUCCUGCAAAGAGACAUUAUAUUACUUUCAGCUGUCUUACUUCAACGUGAACUCUACUAUAUACUUACCAUUCAUCUCCUCUG